rnacentral:rRNA from 1 species
UACGUAGGGUGCAAGCGUUGUCCGGAAUUACUGGGCGUAAAGAGUUCGUAGGCGGUUUGUCGCGUCGUUUGUGAAAACCAGCAGCUCAACUGCUGGCUUGCAGGCGAUACGGGCAGACUUGAGUGACUGCAGGGGAGACUGGAAGUUCCUGGUGUAGCGGUGGAAUGCGCAGAUAUCAGGAGGAACACCGGUGGCGAAGGC